rnacentral:rRNA from 1 species
AAACUUGCAUAUCAUUAAGCGGAGGAAAACAAACCAACCGGGAUUGCCUUAGUAACGGCGAGUGAAGCGGCAAAAGCUCAAAUUUGAAAUCUGGUACCUUCGGUGCCCGAGUUGUAAUUUGUAGAAGGCGACUUUGGGGCUGGUCCUUGUCUAUGUUCCUUGGAACAGGACGUCAUAGAGGGUGAGAAUCCCGUGUGGCGA